CUGUGUCCAGCCCAGAGGUGAAAGCCAUCCAAAGCAGAGUAACUGUGCUUUGUGCCUAAGUUGAUACCUGUGGAGAGAAAAGGAGAGAGAGUGGGUAACACGAGGAGAAACAGAGGAAACCUGUACUUACAGUACGCUGUGUUCAGCCCAGAGGUGAGAGCCAUUCAAAGCAAACUAACUGUGCUAUUGUGCCUAAGUUGAUACCUGUGGAGAGAAAAGGAGAGAGAGUGGGUAACACGAGGUGAGACCGAGGAAACCUGUACUUACGCCGCUGCCUGUGGAGAAAGAGAAAGCGAGUGAGCACCCAAGGAACGAACUGUGUGAACCAGUACUUACUGUGAGCUGUAAUCAGCGAAGAGCCGUUGCCUGUGGAGGAAGAGAAAGAGAGUGAGCACCUCGAGAACGAACUGUGUGAACCAGUACUUACCGUGAGCUGUAUUCAGCGAAGAGGAGGAAGAAGG
ensembl:lncRNA